ensembl:lncRNA
CUUUUAGACUGCAGAUUCUCCAUACAGGUAUCGGGAAAUUAAGCCUAUAGGUUUACAUGCCUUUAUCUUCUUGCUUCUUCUCUUCUUCUAGCCACUUCUCUUGUCGUUUUUCAUGGCCAGAAAGAUAUUUUCAUUUCUUGUCAGACAUCGUCGACGUCGGAGUAACUGACUGACAGACAUUGACCAGGUGACGAGUGACAUCAUAGGGGUCAGUCAGGGUCAAGAUUCGCGGGGAACUCGCCAUAAUAAAGAACUAAAUAAAUAACAACUGUGCUUAUCAUGAUGCCUGAUAAAGAGCGCUGUAGGCCCAUUUAUUUUUAUUUAUUUAUUUUAUGUUACUUUUGAUGUAUGAUUUUUUUUCACCCACUAGCUAGCAGUGACUCUAGGGGGCCCUCUGCUGGCCACGGGGCCCUUUGCAAUUGCAAAGGUCGCUUAGUGGCUUGGCCGGCUCUGUUUGGCAGUCUAUGGGACAGUCACAAGCCUACUGGUUUUCAUCCAAAAUAUCUUAAAUUGUGUUCUGAAGACGAACGAAGCUUUUACGGGUUUGGAACGACAUGGGGGUAAGUGAUUAAUGACAACAUUUUCAUUUUGCGGUGGAGUAACUCUUUAAGAGAGAGUAGCCUACCGUUGUUAUGACGGGUGGCGCUGUUGAUUUAUUGGCUGUGAGCGCUCUCGAGGACUGUGUAGAAUAGGAGAAGAAAUGUCAACACUGCAUGAUAUUCUGAAUGGGACUCCACAAGGAAGUGUAAUUAGUCCAAUUUUAUUCAAUAUAAUGAUUAAUGAUAUUUAUGAAAGAGUUAAACCAAGUAUGGGGAAGGCACUAUAUGCAGAUGAUGGUGCAGUGUGGAAAAGAGGUAGGAACUUAGGGAAUGUAGUCAAAGGAAUACAAGAAUCAAUAAAUGAAGUUGAAAGGUGGUCAGUGGAAUGGGGACUGAAGUUUUCAGUAUUAAAGACCCAAUAUAUGGUUUUCACAAAGAAAAGGAAAGUGGAGCAAAUUACUUUGAAAUUGUAUGGUCAUUUAUUAGAAAGAGUGACAGAAUUUAAAUACCUUGGGUUAAUAUUUGAUGGAAAACUAAUAUGGAAUAGACAUAUUAAGAAAAUUGAGAAUAAAUGUAAAGGAGUAAUAAAUUGCAUGACAUCAAUAGCCAAAUAUGAGUGGGGAGCAAGGAAAAGCAAACUACUAAAUGUAUAUCAAGCCUUAAUACGGUCAAGUUUAGAUUACGGAUGUGUAGUGUAUGGUGCUGCAGCAAAAUCAGAGCUAAAGAAGUUGGAUAACGUACAGGCUAGGGCACUUAGAAUUUGUUGUGGAGCAAUAAGAUCAACCCCUUUAGAUGCCAUUAGGGUUGAAAUGGGAGAGAUGCCACUAGACUUAAGAAGGAAAAAGCUUACAAUGAUGUACUGGGUUAAUUUACAGGGUUGCAAUAAGAGUCAUCGCACACGAGAAAUUUUAAAUGACUGUUGGGAAUAUAAAAAGAAUAAUGGGAAUAGUUUUGGAUGGAAGUAUAAACAAUGGGUUAAGGAAUGUGGUCUGGAAAAUGUAGAUAUUUGUUCCAAUAUGCCAUUAAAAGGGGUAUCGGUGUGGAAUAUUCCUGAACCUAAUGUUGAAAUGAGAUUGCUGGAGGAUCGGGAGAAAGCAGAAGAUAGAUAUUCUAAUAGUUAUGAAAUUAAUGGUUUUAUGAGAGAAAAUUUUUAUUCUUGUAUACAGAUUUAUACAGAUGGAUCUAAAGACCCAGUUGAACAAAAAGUGGGAGUAGGAGUAUAUAUUCCAAAAUUUGAGACAAAAAUAAGUUUAAGGUUGAGUGAUAAAAUGUCUGUAUAUUCAACAGAACUAACUGCUAUAAUAGUAGGGUUGCAGUGGUUAGAGGAGACUAAACCAAAUAGGAUGCCAACUGUAAUUUGCUCAGAUUCUGCAUCAGCACUUAAAAGUAUAUUGUCAACAAAAACUGACAGAGAAGAUCUGCUAGUAGAAAUUUAUACAUUAUUAUAUAGGUUGAACAUAGAGGGUUUAAUUGUAUACUUUUGUUGGGUGCCGGCACAUAUUGGGAUAGUAGGAAACGAAAUAGCGGAUAAGUUAGCAAAAGAAGCGUUAAGGAAAGAAUUGAUAGAUAUUAAGAUACCUUUAGGAAGAAAUGAAGUUAGAUCAAUAAUUAACAGAGAAAUAACAAAAAUAUGGCAACAAAGAUGGGAUAGUAGCAGUACAGGUAGGUGGUAUUAUAGUAUUGUUAAGUCAGUAGGGAAAAAAGAAUCGUGCUAUGGAAGGCAUAGAAAAGAAGAAGUAAUGAUUUCUAGACUAAGGAUGGGGCAUACAGGAUUAAACUCAACACUGGCAUUAAUGGGAAAACAUGGAAAUGGUAUGUGUGAUGAAUGUGGUGUGGUUGAAACAGUAGAACAUGUGUUUUUUAAGUGUAGUAAAUAUGAAGAACAGCGUAGUGAUCUUUUUAAAAAUAUAAAGAACACGUCAGUGAGUAUAAUGGAUUUAUUGGGAAAGGGUUUGAGUGAUAGACAGAGGUUUAAGGACGUGAUAACAUUUUUAGAGCUUACAGGACUAGAUCACCGGAUCUAGAGCCUGAGGAGAAGGAGCAAGUAGCUCUGAUCAUCCUGGAGGUUGAGGAGAUCAGUGUGGAAGCUGGAGGAGCUGAACACGCAGCGUCAGCUGAAGCUUGGUAUCUGAUCCUCUGGGAUGUUAAAGGGAUUUAAAAUUUUGUUUUUUUUUUUUUUUUUUCAAUUCAGAUCCAUUAUUCAUGUGGGCAAGGUAUACAGUAGGUGGCGGUAAUUCUCCUAAGGAGUGAACGGCCAUAAAACGGAAGGAAGAAGGAGAAGAAGAAGAGGACUGUGUAGUGAUUGGUUGAAAGAGUGCGUUACGUCAAGCGCUCGCGCGGAAGUACCGAGGAUUGGAAAAUAGAGGUUAUGCUGCAUAGAGCACAGCGGGAGAAGGAGACAUUUAACGUUACCUGUAAAUACAGUAAGAGUACAGCCAUGAGCUGAGGCUCCCCAAACCCGCCUUUCUCAAUGAUGAACGACAAACUGGUGUUCCUGGGUCUCCUUUACUUCAUCCAGGGCAUUCCGUAUGGCCUGCAGUCUUCUCUUCUCCCGGUGUACCUGCGUGGUGCUGGCCACUCUCUCACCCGCAUCAGCCUCACCAAAAUCCUCUAUUUUCCCUGGGUGCUCAAGGUACUCUGGGCUCCUCUGGUGGACCGGACUGGCACCAAGCGCUACUGGUUAGUGGGCACAGUGGCUGGUCUGGCUCUCACCUGUUUGGUGAGCGCUACCAUCUCACCUGAUGUUCAGUACAUAGGUGUAGCAGGCUCUCUGCUCGCCAUGAACGUCCUGGCAUCAGUGCAGGACAUUGCGGCGGACGGAGCGGCCGUGCGGCUGCUCAGGGGGCAGGGGGAGCUGGGUCUGGGAAACACUGUGCAGGUUGUGGGGUAUAAAGCUGGCUCUGUGUUUGCUGGAGGGGGGCUCCUGGCUGUGAUUGACGUUGCAGGCUGGGGCUGGAUGUUCGCACUGCUGGCCUGUGUUUACGGUGGUGUUGCUCUGUUCGUAUGGGGCGCCCCGGUGUUGGAUGGAGAGUCGGCGUGGGGACAGGGAGAGGGACGGAGAGGGUCAAAGGAUGUGAUGCAACCCUGGAAGGUGUGGAGGAAGCUCUUGUCUGUGCCAGGAACGCCAUGGAUGAUGUUCUACGUUCUCACAUACAAGCUAGGUGAACAGGGGGCUAUCACCAUGUUUCCUCUCUUCCUGCUGGACCACCACAUGACGGCCAGAGAGCUCGGGGUGUGGAACGGUGUGGUUGCCAUGGCUUUUUCCAUCUGCGGCUCAUCAGUCGGGGGUUUCUUGCUCUCUCAGUACAGUAUUGGCAUGCUAAUGAGACGUGUGUUUAUGAUGCGGACUGUCAGCAUGGUCUUCCAGAGCUCACUUCUCGUAGUGCUGGAGCCCUCGCCCUUGAUGAAAGGUAUGGCAGUGCUGAGUCUGAGUUUGCAGCAUUUCAUAGCAGGUCUCAUCACCACUCUGACGUUCACCACAAUGAUGAACUGCACACAGAGAGCCGAGGAGAGCAUACAGGCCACCCACUACAGUUUUCUGGCUACACUGGAGGUCCUGGGGAAACUGAGUUUUAGUGCCCUGGCUGGAGGUAUGGUGGACACUGUGGGCUUUCCCAUAGCUUUCGUCGUCUUCCUCUUCCUCACCUCCAGCAGUGCCCUGCAUGUGUGGAGAGCCACAGAGACUGGCGUCCUGAAGGAGCAACUCAAAGAGCAGCCGCAGUGACCAGAGUUAGCCUAUGAGAGAGAGUGUAUGUCUGGGUGAGAGAGAGUGAAGUCCAAUCUUAUGAUUCACAUAAGAUACUGGUGACCAAAUAGCCAGUGAAAUAAAUCUGUUGUUUUUAUUUGUAUUUAUUUAUAACUCAGCCAGCACUGAUGUGACAAGAGCCGCACAAGCACUCUCACUGAAAGCCAGUACCACUGCAAAUGCUUAACAGCUACAUUGCACCUCUACAGUAAAUUAGCUUUAAAGGUACUUGCUUUUCAACAACAAGUCAUCCUGAAUGGCAAGCGGACUGAGCUAGGGCAACAAUGUGGUUAAUCUAUUAAGUUUGUAAACAGACAAUGACACAUUUAUUCUAUACAAUUUUACUGGUUAUAAAAGAUCUAUAUCAGGGUCUAGUCAGGUUUGGUUUAGUUAAUCACCCUAGUCAUUUAUACAUUUCAUUAUAUACAGCAUGCAUUCACUUUAGAAAUGCCUUUAGUUCGAUGAUGCCUAAGGUGUCUGAUGCCCUCUGACACCUUAGAUACAAUUCCAUCGGCUUAUUGACCAUUCAGCAACACAUUGGGAACAGUAUGAACACUGAAUUAUGGUACUAUGCUUAGUGGAGUGCAUUUUUGUAUUCUCAAUGCAAUACUUAAAUUAAAAGGGUCAUAUCAUUGAAAAUUAAUAUUGCGUUAAAUUUAAGUUGUGUAUGAUGAAAAAGCACUGUACCUUUUUACAGUAUUAUACAUACAUUGUGGAGCACCUGAAAAUCCUUAUCCUUCCUAGGAUUAUUAGGAAAUGUAAGGAAAAAGUGGACCAGCAGCAAAUGUGAUAUCAAGAUGGUGUCUGAACAUCUUAAAGGCACACCAGCAAAAAUCAAUGGUCGAAAAUGGUCAUGACCAACUUAAUUGGGACUUUUUCGAUGCAGAAAACUUGACUAACAUUGUAAGUGGACCUCAGGGAAAAAUUGAUUCGAAAAAGUAUGAUGUGACCCCUUUAAUGACUUUAAAUACGGUACACUGUAACAGUUAAACUCAUCAAGCUCAUUUUUUUGAGCCGAUACAUGUUUUUUUGAAAUGUUUGUUUUUGUAUGAGUUGUCUGCAUUUCCUAUGCAAUAGCACAAAAUUAUUCAUGGUUAUUACAUACAACUUUGCUUCUCGCACAUGAAAAAAAAAAAAUUAUUAAAUUGCCUUAUUAUUUUUAUUAUUAUUAUUAUUAUUAUUUUAAAGAUUUACUACAAAGCCAAAACAUGUGGAGCUAUUGUUGAGACUAUGUAGGCAUAUGUGUGGGAUGUCAGUUUUGGAGGGGAAUUCAAUUUCAGUUGCGGAAAAGAUCAUCAAAUGAAACUGCAGCUGUUCAUGUAUAUAGUGCAGUUACAGUAUAUGUUUUCCAUUCCUGUUGAAAGCACAACAAUAUAGUAUAGUACUAUAGUAUAAUCUAUCUAAUCUUCUUUUUUGCAUUUGUUUUCUUGGAGAAAUAGAAACAGUCAGUCCCAAUUAAAUGCUACAUUUUAAAAAUGGUUACGAGGUCAUAACACUUUAUGAAAUAAGUGGAAAAGCUAUGGCCAAUUGAUGGUUAUUUUGUCAUUAAAUCCUCUGCUAAGCAAAGCCCUUACC